rnacentral:rRNA from 1 species
AUUGAACGCUGGCGGAAUGCUUUACACAUGCAAGUCGAACGGCAGCACGGGGCAACCUGGUGGCGAGUGGCGAACGGGUGAGUAAUACAUCGGAACGUGCCCAGUCGUGGGGGAUAACGUAGCGAAAGUUACGCUAAUACCGCAUACGAUCUAAGGAUGAAAGCGGGGGAUCGCAAGACCUCGCGCGAUUGGAGCGGCCGAUGUCAGAUUAGGUAGUUGGUGGGGUAAAGGCCCACCAAGCCGACGAUCUGUAGCUGGUCUGAGAGGACGACCAGCCACACUGGGACUGAGACACAGCCCAGACUCCUACGGGAGGCAGCAGUGGGGAAUUUUGGACAAUGGGCGCAAGCCUGAUCCAGCCAUUCCGCGUGCAGGAUGAAGGCCUUCGGGUUGUAAACUGCUUUUGUACGGAGCGAAAAGGCUCUCUCUAAUACAGGGGGCUCAUGACGGUACCGUAAGAAUAAGCACCGGCUAACUACGUGCCAGCCGCCGCUGUAA